rnacentral:rRNA from 1 species
UGGGGGAUAUUGCACAAUGGGCGAAAGCCUGAUGCAGCGACGCCGCGUGGGGGAUGAAGGCUUUCGGGUUGUAAACCUCUUUCGCUAUCGAACAAGGCCCGCUUAGGGUGGGUUGAGGGUAGGUGGAGAAGAAGCGCCGGCUAACUACGUGCCAUCAGCCGCGGUAAUACGUAGGGCGCGAGCGUUGUCCGGAAUUAUUGGGCGUAAAGGGCUUGUAGGCGGCUUGUCCCGCCUGCUGUGAAAACGCGGGGCUUAACUUCGCGCGUGCAGUGGGUACGGGCAGGCUUGAGUGUGGUAGGGGUGACUGGAAUUCCAGGUGUAGCGGUGGAAUGCGCAGAUAUCUGGAGGAACACCGAUGGCGAAGGCAGGUCACUGGGCCAUUACUGACGCUGAGGAGCGAAAGCAUGGGUAGCGAACAGG